rnacentral:rRNA from 1 species
AGAGUUUGAUCCUGGCUCAGCGCGAACGCUGGCGGCAUGCCUAACACAUGCAAGUCGUACGGAGAGUGGGGCAACUCACUCUCAGUGGCAAACGGGUGAGUAACGCGUGAAUAACCUGCCUUUGAGAAGGGGAUAACUGUCCGAAAGGAUAGCUAAUACCCUAUAUUGCCUUUUGUCACUAAGGCAAAAAGUGAAAGCGAGGCUGUCAAAGGCUUCGGCUCAAAGAGGGGUUCGCGUCCUAUCAGGUAGUUGGUGGGGUAAUGGCCUACCAAGCCAAUGACGGGUAGCUGGUCUUAGAGGAUGAUCAGCCACAGUGGGACUGAGACACGGCCCGCACCCCUACGGGGGGCAGCAGUGGGGAAUCGUGGGCAAUGGGCGCAAGCCUGACCCCGCAAUGCCGCGUGAGGGAAGAAGCCCUUCGGGGUGUAAACCUCUGUCAGAUGGGAAGAUGGGACUAGGGGCUAAUACCUCCUGGUCUUGACGGUACCAUCAGAGGAAGGGACGGCUAACUACGUGCCAGCAGCCGCGGUAAUACGUAGGUCCCGAGCGUUGCGCGAUGUUACUGGGCGUAAAGCGUCCGUAGCUGGUUUCGUAAGCGGAUUGUCAAAGCCCGAAGCUCAACUUCGGCAAGGCAUUCCGAACUGCGUUACUUGAGUCCUGUUCAGGUAGGCGGAAAUCCCGGUGUAGCGGUGAAAUGCGUAGAUAUCGGGAAGGACACCAGUGGCGAAGGCGGCCUACUGGGACGGUACUGACGGUCAUGGACGAAAGCUGGGGGGAGCAAACGGAUUAGAUACCCUGGUAGUCAGGGGCGGAUUCGUU